GGCUCCUUGGUCUAAUGGCAGCGACACCAGGUUCUCAGCCUGGUUAUGUGAGUUCGAAUCUCACAGGAGUCA
rnacentral:tRNA from 1 species